GGUUGUGGCUCAGUGGUGGAGUGCUCACCUAGCAUGCUUGAGGCACUGGGUUCAAUCCUCAGCGCCA
rnacentral:tRNA from 1 species